rnacentral:rRNA from 1 species
CGCAGCUAACGCGAUAAGUAGACCGCCUGGGGAGUACGGCCGCAAGGUUAAAACUCAAAUGAAUUGACGGGGGCCCGCACAAGCGGUGGAGCAUGUGGUUUAAUUCGAUGCAACGCAAAGAACCUUACCAGGUCUUGACAUCCUCGGAACUUGGCAGAGAUGCCUUGGUGCCUUCGGGAGCCGAGUGACAGGUGCUGCAUGGCCGUCGUCAGCUCGUGUCGUGAGAUGUUGGGUUAAGUCCCGUAACGAGCGCAACCCUUGUCCUUAGUUGCCAGCACGUCAUGGUGGGAACUCUAGGGAGACUGCCGGUGACAAACCGGAGGAAGGUGGGGACGACGUCAGGUCAUCAUGGCCCUUACGACCUGGGCUACGCACGUGCUACAAUGGCUGGUACAGAGGGUUGCGAAGUCGCGAGGCGAAGCUAAUCCCUUAAAGCCAGUCGUAGUCCGGAUCGGAGUCUGCAACUCGACUCCGUGAAGUCGGAAUCGCUAGUAAUCGCGGAUCAGAAUGCCGCGGUGAGUACGUUCCCGGGCCUUGUACACACCGCCCGUCACACCAUGGGAGUGGAUUGCACCAGAAGUGGCUAGUCUAACUACGGAGG